rnacentral:rRNA from 1 species
UACGGAGGGUGCGAGCGUUGUCCGGAAUCACUGGGCGUAAAGGGCGCGUAGGCGGCUCGUGAAGUCAGUGGUGAAAGCCCAGGGCUCAACUCUGGGUGGGCCACUGAUACUCGCGAGCUCGAGUUUGGUAGAGGCAGAUGGAAUUCCGGGUGUAGCGGUGGAAUGCGUAGAGAUCCGGAAGAACACCGGUGGCGAAGGCGGUCGGCUGGGGUAAUGCUGACACUGAGGCGCGACAGCGUGGGGAGCAAACAGG